GGCUCCCGGCUGCUCCCCGAAAAUGCGGUCCUGCAGCCCCGGGGCCGCGCAGGCGCGGUGGGGGCGCCCUCUGCCGCGAUCGCUGCUGCCUCCGCGGUUACCGGCACCGUGACGCGGCGGUGCUUGCGGAGCGGCGCCGCCUCGCCCGUCGCUUCCUCCCGAAAGUCGGUAUUCAAGAUACUCCUGUGGGAUAUAUUCAGGACUGAAUUGGUGCCCAGCAACUUCCUUGAGAUCAACAUCUUCAGCCCGCAAUCUGUGAGCAUGGACCACACCAGAUACAGCUGCUAGGAGCUCCAGAUGUAGCAGAGGCUACGUGCCCUCCUCCUGCUGUGCCCAAGACCACCCGCUCCACCCACCGAACCAACAGCACAUCACCCCGCCUGACUUAAAAGACUGUCAUGACAGUGGACCCCAAACUUAUGGACUAUA